AGGAUCACUUGGAACUUAAAAAGCAAGAAAUCACGGAGAAAAUAACCUUGCCACCAAUACUCUGCUUCUGGAAUGUUUUUAAGAGCAGUCGGAGGGUUUUAUUUCAGUUGGAGAUUGAAUUCACCGGAAAUUGUAAACGGCAAACUUCCACUGAGUCGAUCUUAACAGGUGGAGGGCAGUGGAGUGCCAUACGGGGUGUGGUGGGAAGUAAGGGUGAUGCGGAGAAAGGAGAGGGUGGAGCAGUCCGAAAGCCGAACUGACUGACUUCGCAGUUUUCCGUGGGCCGCCCCGCCCUAGCUUAAAACCGUGGGAGGAGCUGGGGGGCCUUCAGGGCCUUCUCCUCCUGUUGGAAACCGCUCCCAAUUCGGGGCAGGAGAUCUCAGCUUGCUGCUCGUGGGCUGAGGCGGAGCCGGCUCGGGGAGCUUGCAUCCACACCCGACACCUGAGUGGGAGAAGCUGGGCCUUCCCGAUGAGGUGGAGGGGUGUGUGCUCACCCCAGAGGGCGUCUCUGGGGCUGAGGCUGCGAAAGGCGCUGAGCACUCGACUCCACUCCUCCUUGGGACCCCAGAGUUCCUCUGGGCAUGCAAGCCAAGUUGUAACUAGGAUUCACGAGUAGAGUGGUGGUGUUUUCGGGGCCUGGGGGGGAGUUGUUUUUCGCUUUUUGGCCGUUUUUUGCUUGUUUUGUUUUGCUGCUUUCAGGUUCAUGGCAGCCUGACGGAGCAUCUAGUUACCCAGCUUGGUGGAAAGCUGAGAGGUCACAUCUCUUCCGUGUGUGGAGCGCCCGGCUCUGGUUAGCAUUUGCCCUGCCCUCCUGCAGUAGCUUCACUGCUGCUGUCCUGGUUUGUGAACAUGUAUGAGUUGUGCUUGCUGCUUUUAGCGUGUGCCCGCCAGGGAAGAAAGUGUCCUUACCUACAAAGCAGUGAGCAGUCCCGGGCGUUAGCUGCAUUCGCUCUCCCAGCAUCUCGGAAGGACCUCUGGCCUUGGGGAGCAGCCUUGAGGAGUCCCGGGGAUGGCUCCCGAGUGGGCUUAAACGCUCCCGUCUCUGCAGCCUGGGGAUGGGAAUAAACUGCGGAUUCUCUGUGGUCAGCUCUCCAGAGGGAGGCAGAGUCUCUAAAGGUGUCGCAAGGAUGGAAAUCCGCCUCUGACUAGAGCAGGCUUGCUGCAGACAAGCAGUCCUGGAAAAAAGAGAAAAUCCUUCAAAGAUUUUAACGGUGGAAAACGUUUUCAUAGCAAAGAAUGAACAAGCCUCUAUGAGAAGGCAAAUGCAGAAAAGGUCUCUGAACAGUUGUAUUUUGAGUUUGAAAUUUCAGCUGCUUCUAUCUGCAAGCCCGAGGGAGGUCCCCCAGCCUCAGUGGGCUCUUUCCAGUCCCACCACCUCCCCAGGAGCCCUCGGCCCUGAUGUUGGCACGUGCCAGCUGCUGUCGGUAUCCCAGCAAGCAGAGGAGUCUGUUUUCCAGAACUACAUGUUUUGAGGGGGAGAAGCGUCAGAGGAGACGUAUUGGGGUACUUUGGAUAUGCUGUUGUAGGCUGGGGGUGGGUGAGGCAGCGCGUGCACCACCCAUGCGCGAUGGAAACCCACAUGUCUCCAAAGGGUAAAGGACGAAAGUAGAAGGCCGCUCAGGGCAUGUGAACUGGGGUGGUGCAGGAUCCACUUGGGCCCCAUGGCCCUUAGGAAUGUGCACGGCCAGUGCCUGUGGAUGUUCACAGCAGCGGGGUUCCUCCUGGGCGGACGGAGAUUUUGUUUUUCCUUUUUCUCCUCAAAUCCCCCCAGCACAUAGCUGUAUAUUUUUAGUUGUGGGUCCUUCCAGUUUUGGCAUGUGGGACGCCACCUCAGCAUGGCUUGAUAAGCCGUGACAUGUCCACGCCCAGGAUCCAGACCGGUGAAACCCUGGGCCAUGGAAGAGGAGCGAGCGAACUCAACCACUCAGCCAUGGAGCUGGCCCCUG
ensembl:lncRNA